rnacentral:misc_RNA from 1 species
GUGAAUCAUCGAAUCUUUGAACGCAAAUUGCACUCUCUUCGGAGAGUAUGCCUGUUUGAGGGUCAGUAUUAAUAAAAAUCGGUGUGUUGCUUCUUUGUGACGCUCCGGAGUUUGGGCUAUCUUAACUUUUUUGGUUAAGGGGCUUAAAAUUGACCUUUUUUGCGCAUUUUUAGACGUACAUAAAUUUUUUUUUUAUUUGUUUAUUUUUUAUGCCAAAAACCUUUUAAAUUCGACCAUA